rnacentral:rRNA from 1 species
AGCGAACGCUGGCGGCAGGCCUAACACAUGCAAGUCGAACGAACCCUUCGGGGUUAGUGGCGGACGGGUGAGUAACACGUGGGAACGUGCCUUUAGGUUCGGAAUAACUCAGGGAAACUUGUGCUAAUCCCGAAUGUGCCCUUCGGGGGAAAGAUUUAUCGCCUUUAGAGCGGCCCGCGUCUGAUUAGCUAGUUGGUGAGGUAAAGGCUCACCAAGGCUACGAUCAGUAGCUGGUCUGAGAGGAUGACCAGCCACAUUGGGACUGAGACACGGACCAAACUCCUACGGGAGGCAGCAGUGGGGAAUCUUGCGCAAUGGGCGAAAGCCUGACGCAGCCAUGCUGCGUGGAUGAUGAAGGUCUUAGGAUUGUAAAAUCCUUUCACCGGUGAAGAUAAUGACUGUAGCCGGAGAAGAAGCCCCGGCUAACUUCGUGCCAGCCGCCGCCGUAAUAC